CCUACGGGAGGCAGCAGUGGGGAAUAUUGCACAAUGGGGGAAACCCUGAUGCAGCAACGCCGCGUGAGUGAUGAAGGCCUUCGGGUUGUAAAGCUCUGUCUUUGGGGACGAUAAUGACGGUACCCAAGGAGGAAGCCACGGCUAACUACGUGCCAGCAGCCGCGGUAAUACGUAGGUGGCAAGCGUUGUCCGGAUUUACUGGGCGUAAAGGAUGCGUAGGUGGAUUUUUAAGUGGGAUGUGAAAUUCCGAGGCUCAACCUCGGCGCUGCAUUCCAAACUGGAAAUCUAGAGUGCGGGAGAGGAAAGUGGAAUUCCUAGUGUAGCGGUGAAAUGCGUAGAGAUUAGGAAGAACACCAGUGGCGAAGGCGACUUUCUGGACCGUAACUGACACUGAGGCAUGAAAGCGUGGGGAGCAAACAGGAUUAGAUACCCUGGUAGUCCACGCCGUAAACGAUGGGUACUAGGUGUAGGAGGGUCCAACCUUCUGUGCCGCCGUUAACACAUUAAGUACCCCGCCUGGGGAGUACGGUCGCAAGAUUAAAACUCAAAGGAAUUGACGG
rnacentral:rRNA from 1 species